UACGUAGGAUGCAAGCGUUGUCCGGAAUUAUUGGGCGUAAAGAGCGAGCAGGCGGUUACUCAAGUCAGAUGUAAAAAUAUCCCGGCUUAACCGGGAGGGGCCAUUUGAAACUGGGCAACUAGAGUGAAGCAGAGGAUAGCGGAAUUCCCGGUGUAGUGGUGAAAUGCGUAGAUAUCGGGAGGAACACCAGUGGCGAAGGCGGCUAUCUGGGCUUUAACUGACGCUGAGGCGCGAAGGCUAGGGGAGCAAACAGG
rnacentral:rRNA from 1 species